rnacentral:rRNA from 1 species
GAUGAACGCUGGCGGCGUGCCUAAUACAUACAAGUCGAGCGAACGGACGAGAAGCUUGCUUCUCUGAUGUUAGCGGCGGACGGGUGAGUAACACGUGGAUAACCUACCUAUAAGACUGGGAUAACUUCGGGAAACCGGAGCUAAUACCGGAUAAUAUUUUGAACCGCAUGGUUCAAAAGUGAAAGACGGUCUUGCUGUCACUUAUAGAUGGAUCCGCGCUGCAUUAGCUAGUUGGUAAGGUAACGGCUUACCAAGGCAACGAUGCAUAGCCGACCUGAGAGGGUGACCGGCCACACUGGAACUGAGACACGGUCCAGACUCCUACGGGAGGCAGCAGUAGGGAAUCUUCCGCAAUGGGCGAAAGCCUGACGGAGCAACGCCGCGUGAGUGAUGAAGGUCUUCGGAUCGUAAAACUCUGUUAUUAGGGAAGAACAUAUGUGUAAGUAACUGUGCACAUCUUGACGGUACCUAAUCAGAAAGCCACGGCUAACUACGUG